CCAAACCAGGCUCUGAGGAUGCAAAUUACAAGCGAGUCUCCUCUAAUUCUCCCAAACCGGUUCUUGAGGAUGUGAAACCAACUUAUUGGGCUCAAUCCCAUUUGGUCACAGGAUACUGUACGUAUCUUCCUUUCCAGAGAUUUGAUAACACCCGGACAUCGCCAGCAUACAUAAAUGUGUUACCAGGUUUGCCCCAGUACACCAGCAUAUAUACACCCUUGGUCAGCCUUUCUCCUGAAUAUCAGCUACCAAGAUCAGUACCAGUGGUGCCGUCUUUUGUAGCCAAUGACAGAGCAGAUAAAAAUGCUACUGCCUAUUUUGAGGGUCAUCAUUUGAAUGCUGAGAAUGCUGCUGGUCACCAGAUUGCCUCCGAAACACAGAUCCUUGAGGAUUCUUCGUUAAUAUCUGUAAAGUCACAGUGCAGCACAGGUGAUGCUCAUACAGUCCUGAGUGAGUCUAACAGAAAAGAUGGGCACUGUGGAAAUUCUAACAACAAAUGUGAAGUAAUUCCAGAAAGCACCAGUGCAGUAACAAACAUUCCACAGGUGCAGAUGGUUGCCAUACAGGUAUCUUGGAACAUAACACACCAAGAAGUCAAUACUGAGCCAUAUAAUCCUUUUGAGAAACAACAAGGGGAAAUUUCACGGAUUGAAAAGGAGUACCAAGUAUUACAAGACCAACUUAAAGAAGCGUAUGAAAAUUAUGAGCAGAUAAAACUUAAGGGCUUAGAAGAGACCAGGGACCUGGAAGAAAAGUUGAAAAGGCACUUAGAAGAAAACAAGAUAUCAAAGACAGAAUUAGAUUGGUUGCUUCAAGAUUUGGAAAGAGAAAUUAAAAAAUGGCAAGAGGAAAAAAAAGAAAUCCAAAAAACACUAAAAUCACUGAAGAAGAAAAUUAAAAAGGUUUCAAAUGCCAAUGAAAUGUAUACCCAGAAAAAUGAUGGAAACGAUAAGGAACAUGAAUUACAUCUGGAUCAGUCCCUUGAAAUCAGCAACACACUUACAAACGAGAAAAUGAAAAUAGAAGAGUGUAUAAAGAAAGGGAAAAAGGAUUAUGAAGAGAGUCAUCAGAGAGCUGUGGCUGCAGAGGUAUCCGUACUUGAAAACUGGAAGGAGAGUGAAGUGUAUAAGCUACAGAUCAUGCAGUCACAAGCAGAAGCCUAUCUGAAGAAGCUGGAGCUGAUUAGCCAUGAUCCUGCAGCAUAUCCUGACAUGGAGUCCGAUAUAUGUUCAUGGGAAUUGUUUCUUUCUAAUGUUACAAAAGAAACUGAGAAAGCAAAGUAUCAGUUUGAAGAACAAAUUAAGGCAAUUAAAAAUGGUUCUCGGCUCAGUGAACUUUCUAAAGUGCAGAUUUCUGAGCUUUCAUUUCCUGCCUGUAACACGGUUCAUCCUGAGUUACUCCCUGAGUCUUCAGGCCAUGAUGACCAAGGGUUUAUGACUUCCGCAAGCGAUGUGACUGGAAACCAAGCAGCACUUCACAGGGAUCCCAGUGUGUUCUCUGCCGGCGAUUCCCCAGGGGAGGCUCCUUCUGCACUGUUGCCAGGGCCACCCCCCUCUCAGCCUGAAGCCACUCAGCUGCCAGGGCCAAAAGGGGCUGGCCAGGCAGCUCUGUCAGAGCAAAGCCCUGCGGCUGAUCAGAAGCAGCCUGUUCCUCCAGGGUGUGCUGCAUGUUCAAGCCAGUCUCCAAAAAAGCCAUUCAAUAGUAUUAUUGAGCACCUGUCAGUGGUAUUCCCAUGUUACAACAGCACUGAGCUUGCUGGUUUUAUUAAAAAAGUGAGAAGCAAAAACAAGAACUCACUUUCAGGAUUGAGUAUUGAUGAAAUUGUCCAAAGAGUGACAGAACACAUUCUAGAUGAACAGAAAAAGAAAAAGCCAAACCCAGGAAAGGACAAGAGGACUUAUGAGCCCAGCUCUGCCGCCCACGUGACCAGGUCCUCCCAGGGCCCACCCUUGGCGGUUGUUGCACCAUCACCCAAAACCAAGGGGCAGAAAGCAGAAGAUGUCCCUGUGAGGGUUGCACUGGGUGCAAGUUCCUGUGAAAUAUGUCACGAGGUGUUCAAAUCAAAAAACGUGCGUGUGCUCAAAUGUGGGCACAAGUAUCACAAAGGGUGUUUUAAGCAGUGGCUUAAAGGGCAGAGCGCUUGCCCAGCCUGCCAGACUUGUGAUCUCCUGUCAGAAGAGUAGCCUGCACCUUCUGGAAGAGGCUGGCCCAGUGAGAAUCGGGAGCCGCCUUCCUGCUCCUCUAGGUAGUCACACUUCACUAAAGCGUCAUCCGCCAGCGUGUUGAAUCGGAAGAAUGACAAUUUCCUACCAUUGGUGUAAAAAGCAAACAUCUGAAGACCCUUGUGCAUUGUGUGUUACAAAGCUAAAUCCAUGGAAAUCGUUAAUAUCAUUGAUAUUAAGUAAUUUCCCCACUCUGAGUGAAUACUUUGAUGAUGGCCAAGCAGUGGCUAACAAAAUGAUGGCUACCACACUCAUGGGUCGCUUGGGCUGUGCAGGGCUCUUUGAGGUGGGUAGUUUCUUUUGGAAAGUACUGUGAGCGC